rnacentral:sRNA from 1 species
UUAAUAAAGUAUUAACUGCAUAUUUAGAAACUCGUCAGAAAGUAAACAAUUAGUCUAUUAAUUCCAAAAACAUGCAAUCUGUUGCCAUUAACUUCUCAUUAAACCUGAAAAAUCUAAUCUGCAACAUGCAAUCAAAGAACCUCUAAAUGAAAAAGUUAAAAUAUUUAAUGUAUUAGAAAAUUGAACACAUUGGUUAGAGGAUUUAGAAUUAUUCAAAAUUGAACUGUACUUAAGGAAACAAACCUGUUCCAGGAGCUUCCCGUUCAAAAUCAAAGAUAGAAACCGGACUUGAAUCUUCUGAACCACAUUCAGUGUCCACCUUCUUUUCUGCAUAACACGUUGUUCCCUUCUUUCUCCUCUUCACUUUCUCACCAUUGGUUACUUCCUUGCGGUUCAUGUUGUGUGAGAAUGUCGCCGUUUCUGAAUCAAGGUACUCCUUUUCAAAACAAGCCAUGAACAGUGUAGAAGUGUUGGCAAAUUGAAUUUUGUGUUCGCCAUCAUUUCCAACAUUGGCAGAAGACAUGUCUGAUAAGUUCCCCUUCUCAUCAUGCACCUUUUCUCUCUUGUUUCUCUUGAACUCGCCUCUAUCUUUUAAACCCUUUUCUUUUUUUCUCUCUUUGGACCUGAAUUCUCCAUCAUCACAUCCACGUUCGAAGCUGAGUACCAAGAAGUUCUCAUUUUCAAGCAAUGUUGGGAACUCGCGGAAUGAUGAAGAUUUGGCAUGAUUCUGAAGACCCUCCUCCAUUCGCUUGCAUUCCCCCAAGUAGUCCACAGAGUUCAUGGAUUUGCUACGUGAAAGUGAAGAACUUGAUUCAAUGGGUCUCUCUCUCUCACCCAUUGGUUCCAAACCCAUUAAUCUUUCCACUAACCCAGGAGUAAUAGUAGUAGUGGUGGUGGUAGAUUCAUUGUCUGGUUUAGUCUUCAAUUCUUGAACUUUUCCACCCAUCUUUGACAUUGAAUCAAGUUCUCUUAAUUGGUCUGAUGGGUGUGUUGGAAGGCCACCAGAGCAGAGAAUCCUGCGCAAGAUGGCAGUGAGACACCCUGCUGUUGAACUUUUGGAGUUGCACAAAGAUGGAUCAAAGCUGAGGGUGGAUGAAGAUGACGGUGUAGAUGAAUAAGAUGGUGAGAUCAAGAGCUUCAUGUUGAAGGAUCUAGUAAACAAGAAAAAGAGCUAAAGAGAAUAGAAUGAUGAAAAAAGUGGAACGAUUUUCUUUUUGGAUUUCGAACUCUCCAAAGAGAAAGGUGCAAUGGUUAUGAAAUGGGAGCAAUCAAAAGUGAGAUUUGAAUUUCGCUAUAUCAGAGAGAAGGGUGGCGGGAUCUGCAUUUGAAUGUUUGUGAGAGGUAGCAAGUUAGAGUGGGAGUAGCUGGUAAUGUCAGUAGCCUGGCCAAAUUCUCUUGGGUUCUGCAGCCGAAG